rnacentral:rRNA from 1 species
GACGAACGCUGGCGGCGUGCCUAAUACAUGCAAGUCGAGCGAGUCUGCCUUGAAGAUCGGAGUGCUUGCACUCUGUGAAACAAGAUACAGGCUAGCGGCGGACGGGUGAGUAACACGUGGGUAACCUGCCCAAGAGAUCGGGAUAACACCUGGAAACAGAUGCUAAUACCGGAUAACAACAGAUGAUGCCUAUCAACUGUUUAAAAGAUGGUUCUGCUAUCACUCUUGGAUGGACCUGCGGUGCAUUAGCUAGUUGGUAGGGUAACGGCCUACCAAGGCGAGGAUGCAUAGCCGAGUUGAGAGACUGAUCGGCCACAUUGGGACUGAGACACGGCCCAAACUCCUACGGGAGGCAGCAGUAGGGAAUCUUCCACAAUGGACGCAAGUCUGAUGGAGCAACGCCGCGUGAGUGAAGAAGGGUUUCGGCUCGUAAAGCUCUGUUGUUGGUGAAGAAGGACAGGGGUAGUAACCGACCUUUGUUUGACGGUAAUCAAUUAGAAAGUCACGGCUAACUACGUG